GACGAACGCUGGCGGCGUGCUUAACACAUGCAAGUCGAACGGAAAGGCCCUGCUGUUGUGGGGUGCUCGAGUGGCGAACGGGUGAGUAACACGUGAGUAACCUGCCCUUGACUUUGGGAUAACUUCAGGAAACUGGGGCUAAUACCGGAUAGGAACUCCUGCUGCAUGGUGGGGGUUGGAAAGUUUCGGCGGUUGGGGAUGGACUCGCGGCUUAUCAGCUUGUUGGUGGGGUAGUGGCUUACCAAGGCUUUGACGGGUAGCCGGCCUGAGAGGGUGACCGGCCACAUUGGGACUGAGAUACGGCCCAGACUCCUACGGGAGGCAGCAGUGGGGAAUAUUGCACAAUGGGCGGAAGCCUGAUGCAGCAACGCCGCGUGCGGGAUGACGGCCUUCGGGUUGUAAACCGCUUUCGCCUGUGACGAAGCGUGAGUGACGGUAAUGGGUAAAGAAGCACCGGCUAACUACGUG
rnacentral:rRNA from 1 species